UACGUAGGGACCAAGCGUUGUUCGGAUUUACUGGGCGUAAAGGGCGCGUAGGCGGUCGUGACAAGUCACUUGCGAAAUCUCCGGGCUUAACUCGGAACGGUCAAGUGAUACUGUCGGACUAGAGUACAGAAGGGGCAACUGGAAUUCUCGGUGUAGCGGUGAAAUGCGUAGAUAUCGAGAGGAACACCUGGCGGCGAAGGCGGGUUGCUG
rnacentral:rRNA from 1 species